CACAGGUUAGGGCUCUAUCACCCACGCUGGCUCACCCCAGUGCCUAAUGUGGAGUGGGUUCCCAACCAAUGCUAACUGACGAGAUCUGUGUGACAACCUGACAACACAACUGAGUUAGACAUUAAGGCUCCUUAAAACUCCAGAGAAAUGAAAUCCAGCUUCACAACAUUUCUUGAUACCAGCAGAUCCCCCUGAGUGUGGCAAAUGCAGUCACACAGGCAUGCGGUGCUUCAGAGAAUAAAAGAGAAUGGAUUUCCAAGCAAGAUACAUUGCAGGUUUGGUGUGCCCACCAAGUUGAGCAAACUGACAGAGACGCAUACCGAUUUUAGGAGGAAAAGCUGGACAAGCAUCUUAACUGCCUUCAUUUGAGACAACUUACUGGUCAUGCUUCUCCCAGUCAUGGAAGUUCUACUCCCACAUUCACAUUUCACUAUGACACAGAAUGUGGCCAAAGUGAGGCCAUCUCUACGGUCAAAAAUGGAGAGGGAAAGACUAAACUGAAAUGUUUGUAAGAAUGUUCUUUGGGAUAAGCUGGUCACUUUACGGACAGAGCAACCUUCUUAAGAUAGGCGAAGGUUGUUGAAACAUGGGUUAAGGCCCAAGAGCGACGGUGGUGAAAGGCAUCCAAAAAGGCAAGCACUUCUACCGAUCCCUCACUUGGGAGACAGACAAGAAAGAUAUAGGUGAAGAAAACCAGCCUGGUCUCUUUAAGAAAAUGACUAAGUGGGAGGACAGAGGGCACAGAGGCUCUUGUACCUUCUUUGUUGAGUAAGUGAUCAAAGCAACCCACCCAAGGUUAGAAACAUUCUCACCAACUGCUUAUGCUUUCCUAGUUGAUGUGCUGAAACUGCUCCUAUGUAGAGGAUUUUAAUACUGGACGUAAUGAU